rnacentral:rRNA from 1 species
UACGUAGGGUGCAAGCGUUGUCCGGAAUUAUUGGGCGUAAAGGGCUCGUAGGCGGUCCGUCACGUCGGGAGUGAAAACUUGGGGCUUAACCCCAAGCCUGCUUCCGAUACGGGCGGACUAGAGGUAGGCAGGGGAGAACGGAAUUCCUGGUGUAGCGGUGAAAUGCGCAGAUAUCAGGAGGAACACCGGUGGCGAAGGCGGCUCUCUGGGACGGUACUGACGCUGAGACGCGAAAGCGUGGGGAGCGAACAGG